UAAACAUUAAGGCAUCUAUCUGCUUUACACAGGCUCUUGCACGGUAAAGCUCGGCAAAUGUUCACAGUAUGUUAUAUGUUUAUUCAUAUUUAUCUCUUGGUCACAGUGUGGCCGGCGUGGAUGUAAGUAGUGUGCGUACGUGCGUCCAUUCCUGCGUUGGCCUGAUGUCAAGUAAAUUCUCGCACUGACCUCACUGUGUCGUACGUAUUCCCUCACUCCUUUUCCCGUGACUGUCACGGGUCUGUCACUGGUCAGCUAUGUAUAAUGAACGUUACAGCAGAGGAGAAAAAAAAAAAAACUAUAGACUGAAAGAAAAUGUUGAUCUUAUUUUGUGGAGAUGAAUGUGACGGUGACAUAUGUGUGGAAAAUAUUUCAUCCCGCAGGAAUAAUGAUAAGAUAAUAUGAAGUACUGAUAUGAGCUGACCCCAGUGAGGCGCAGGGCCGAGGCUCAGAGGUGAAGUCUCGACUCGUCUCUAGUUUACAUUAUAACGAUUUUCCCUUAAUUACGCACCUAUUUAUAUACGUGUUGUAUUCACCAUCACUUAAUAUGAUACACAUUUACGUUAUUGAGGAGAAACAGCCACAUUCCUAUACCUGAAAGUCAUUAAGCUGAGUAAAUGUACAAAUGCUUCCUUUAAUCAUUUUUCAAUGGACUGUUUGUUUGAGUCAAUGAAGCGAGUGUCCGCUUUUUUCGAGGCUUCGAGUCGCACACACGGCUGAGCGAGGAGCCAAGACUGUCCGGCCCGCUGAGGCGUCCGUUGCCUUGCAAAAGCUUGUGAAAAUUUGCACAACUAUGGAAUAGUGACACAGAGUUUACCACCACGAGACCGACAUUGCAUACAGGACAAAGCGAUACUAUCACAGGGUACAUUACUGGAGCGCAGGACUAGCGAGACUCGCAGCCCCAUGGAUGAAUACCCUGAUGACACCACUGGCCACCAGGCAGGAUACAGUGACACACGGUGGCGUCACAGGGCAUGACAUCCACUGAAUCCUGGGACAUCGGGUUUCAGUCAUGAAGUUUGUGGUGGAGCAUGUGAGCAAGGAUUGAGGACGGCUAGGCAGACAGAGUGGUUUUCGCAGCCACCCUGAUAGUAUCCACACCACUGCACUCUCCAUUAUUUCCACCAUCGAAAGCAGUGCACCUCAUCUCACGCAGUGACAGCCCCCCAGUGUUUGAAGACUGUGGUCGUUUGUGCCUGGAGAAGAGAGCAAGUCGCUUUCGUCCGUGGGCCGAGGCAGAAUCUUCAUCAUCAUCAUCAGGCAGUCCAGGCAAAUAUGGCCCAUUGACCAACACUUAUCAACACUGGACCCACUAAGCUCCUACUCCUACUCCUGAAUGAAGUCAUCUUGUCUCAGUGAUGCUCAACACCACAUAACAACAACCCUACAAUGUAAUCCUACCUACACAGUACUUAUAUUCUAAGCAAUAAAGUUUUUGCAAGUGAU